rnacentral:rRNA from 1 species
UACGUAGGGGCCGAGCGUUGUCCGGAGUUACUGGGCGUAAAGCGCGCGCAGGCGGCGGCUUUGGCCCGGCGUGAAAGCCCCCGGCUCAACCGGGGAACGUCGUCGGGGACCGCGCCGCUUGAGGGCGGCAGGGGCCGGUGGAAUGCCUGGUGUAGUGGUGAAAUGCGUAGAGAUCAGGCGGAACACCCGGGGCGAAGGCGGCCGGCUGGGCCGUCCCUGACGCUGAGGCGCGAAGGCGUGGGGAGCGAACGGG